rnacentral:tRNA from 1 species
GUCUUAAGGUGUUUUACAUGUUUGAUUGCAAAUCAAAAGUUUCUGGUUAAAAACAGAUAAGACU